GAAGAAAAACUAUCUACAAACACUAUAAAAUUGAUAAAAUUAGGUUUUCAGGUAAAAUAUACGUUAAAGUUUAAAUGACACGUAGCACAGCUGGUUCAAGUGAGGCGUGCAGUCACCUGCCUAAGUUUAUCUCAGCCUGGCUCGAAAUGUGUCGGAAAAAGAGAAAAUCUUCUUGUCGAGGAAAGUUUUGAGGCUACAAAAGGCACAAAUGUAAGAGAGAUUGAUUAGAAACUGACUGGUUAUCUCAGUCUGGCUUGAAAUGUGUUGGAAAAAGAGAAAACCUUCUUGUCGAGGAAAGGUGUUAAGUUUACAAAAGACACAAAUAUUAGAAAGAUUGAUUAGAAACUAACUCACAAUUCGGUACACAACUGAGUGUCUAUCGUGUGGAUAUCGCACCAUAUGGAUACUUGUUGAUAGACUUGACAGGUAUGGUUACUCUGGGCUUUCAACGAGCUGUUCAGUGACUGCAGACAGUGUCCGGCGUACAGUCUAUCGUCUGUGUUUUAGUAUAUGCCCACAGUUUGGCCUCACUCACGGUGUGUAGCUGGCAAUUUAACGUGGGCUCUGAGGUAUCAAACUGCGAAGGAAACAACGAAGCUGUGAGAUGUUUAGAACGGAAAAAGGUGAGGAAAACCAGCCGGAGCUCUAUUCAGAUACUUUUAUCCUCAUAGAGCACCCUAAAAACCACCGGCCACGCAUGUUAGUCGCAGUCAAUUUAGGUACCCUUACUUUGAUUAUUAUAGACAAAAUGAUAUGCGAUACCUCCGCAUUGCAAGUUACCGUUUUUAAAGUUAGAAAGCAAGAGUGUGAUGUUUGUUUUGCAAAAACCAGGAAACGAAAGACAAUCUUACAGGUGUGGGGUUUCAGUGCACAGGCAUUAUAGUUCUUGGAUUCGAGUUGAUGUUGCCCGAUUUACUCAACGAAACGCAAUACUGUUAAUCAAAUUACAAGCGUUUCAGAUAUGGCGUUUAUUAGCAGAGCAAAGCAGAUACGGUCAAACACUGGUAAAUGUCAUGUAAAACUUAAACACGACUUAACUUCCAAUGUCGCAAUUUUUCGCUGGGAUACACUCUAGUUAAUUGACCUGCUUGUCAUAUGCACAACUAGACUCCAACUAGCGUUUACUCGGGCUACUCAUGUGUAACAUGAAAAGAGCAUUUGGCCCAAAUCUUGCAGUAUUACCUUGAGAAUAUACAGCAGAGAUUGCUUUGUUGGAAUCAAUCACCGUUUAAGGGCCAGGAUUUCUUUCUUCAACUCUGCUUAGGAUAAACUUCGGUGAAUGGUUCUGUGAUUGAGAGUCCUGUAGACAUGGGAUAAACUGCGAGCAGCAUUUUUGUGAACUUGGAUUUGUCAAGAAUGGAGGAUGAUAAAUAAACUUGGCAUUCUUUGCCCCUUUACUAAAUAUAAAAAGUGAAUGUCUUAACCGUAGUUUCCUCUGUCUGGGUAAAGCAAUAACAGAAGCUAGGUUUCUCUUAUACUUUUGAUGAUAACUUUUGGGAUACUUUACUUAGUCGUGGUCAAAAUUACAUUUACUGACAAAGCAAUGUAUUCUAGAUGACAUAGGCACAUUUUUCACGACAACUUACUCACGAACCUUUAUCUCUUUUUCUGCCUUUGUGCAAAAGACGUGUAAGUGGUUUGACUGAGACUCUACUUGGUUCUCUAUCACGCUACAUGAUAGCGAGUCCUGCUUUCCUCCAAUCAACGUGACUCUUUAUUAGAAUGAAAACAUCGUGAAGAAGAACAAUGCAAGAAAAAAGAAACUAAUCGUUAUUGCCACUGACAUAAGUCCAAGGCUUCUUGAUUCUGUUGAUGCAAUAAAUGUCAGCUUGAAAGAUUUCAACAGGGCGUCCAUGUUGCUUUUAUUUCUUGGACGCUGUCAUGCUUGUAGAGGAAUACGGCAGACCGUCACGCAACUCCGGCUUACACACUUUGAAAAUUGUCGAUAGAUAGAUAGAUUGAUAGGAAACCGAAACCUGGACUCGGCCUACCUCUGUAGCCCGAGUAAAAAGGUUGGUGUAUAGGCCGAUUUGUGACUCAUGUCAGGUACGACACUUUCUAUUGCUUGUCGACCUUGCCAUCCUCGAAUAACGCCUUCCUUUAGCCUCGAUAUGAUGACGUUCGGGAUAUUUCCGAGAAUAAUAAUAGUAAUAAUAAUAUUUCCGAGAAACCAUCCAUGACGACAUUUUUACAUCUGAAUGAAGGAAUGACGAAGGAAUGGCGAGGUGAAAGCGGAAUUUACAUUUACUGCGAGCUUGUUUGACUGAAACAUUUCUCAAGAAUUUGCUGCAAAUUCGCAGCCUUCGCUUCACAUUCCUGCUUCACACGGAAAAGCGGAAACUGACGCGAAAGCGAAAGUACAAGACGUUGUCGGUUCAGAAUCGAUUUUGUCGAUUGAUGAUGGCCUUAAAGAUGUAUCCAACGAAGUGUUUACCUCAUCUAGAUGCAAAAUUGCUUCAUGAGAUGUAAUCCACCAGACCAAAUCAUCCCUAAUAGGCCUAGAGGAAUGCAGAUCAUGAAGGACACAGGUCGCAGCAAGACCUCCAAGUUAUGGACGCCCGCAGGACACCCAGGAAGCGUGACUUGCGUGACUCAUGCUAUGUUUUUGUAGUCUCGC
rnacentral:lncRNA from 1 species